ensembl:lincRNA
GAUAGUGGCAAUCAUUUAUUAAGCAUUGCCCUGGCCUAAGGCACCACAUGGGUCAUUUCUUCCAGGCUCCAACUUGCUUCUGCUUUGCCAUAUGGUAACACACCGUAUUAUGGAAGCACCAUCAUUACCGCCAUUUGCAGGGGAAGCCUAAAGAGUUUCCCAUCAACAGCCCUGCAGUAAAAAUUCAGGGCUUCAGAGACAAACAUUUCAUGAGUACAGACUGUGAUGAGGAAAAGCAAGCCAUUCCCUCUCUACCAGGAUCCAGAGCACACUGCUGUUACGACUCCGGAACCGACAAGGAAGCUAUGUGUGGAAGUAUGAGCUCGGGUCGCCUUCUGACCCUCUGUGACGGUCUAUUUCAGGCAGUUAUGGAUAGAUAACAUUACAGACACUGGGAUCUUUAACAAGUGACACAAACAAGAGAAGAAGCAGACAGGACCAUUUAACUUCAAACUCCACCGAAGAGAGCUGAAUUGUAAGCUUCCUACAGCAAGCCCGGCUGGCGGCUAUGUGGCAGUCUUCAUUUCUCAGCGGAAAAGCCACUCCCUUGAGACUCUCCAGGCACCCCCCAGCCGCAUUUUUUAUCAAGUGUCUAAAA